GACGAACGCUGGCGGCAUGCCUAACACAUGCAAGUCGAGCGAGCAGACCCCUUCGGGGUGAAGCUAGCGGCGGACGGGUGAGUAACACGUGGGCAACCUACCUCAUAGAGGGGAAUAGCCUUCCGAAAGGAAGAUUAAUACCGCAUAAGAUUGUAGCUUCGCAUGAAGCAGCAAUUAAAGGAGCAAUCCGCUAUGGGAUGGGCCCGCGGCGCAUUAGCUAGUUGGUGAGGUAACGGCUCACCAAGGCGACGAUGCGUAGCCGACCUGAGAGGGUGAUCGGCCACAUUGGGACUGAGACACGGCCCAGACUCCUACGGGAGGCAGCAGUGGGGAAUAUUGCACAAUGGGGGAAACCCUGAUGCAGCAAUGCCGCGUGAGUGAUGACGGCCUUCGGGUUGUAAAGCUCUGUCUUCGGGGACGAUAAUGACGGUACCCGAGGAGGAAGCCACGGCUAACUACGUGCCAGCAGCCGCGGUAA
rnacentral:rRNA from 1 species